rfam:Pan troglodytes isolate Yerkes chimp pedigree #C0471 (Clint) chromosome 4, whole genome shotgun sequence.
GCCAGGCAUGGUGACAUGUGCUUGUAGUCCCAGCUACUUGGGAGGCUGAGGCAGGAGGAUUGCUUGAGCCCAGGAGUUUGAGGCUGCAGUGAGCUAUGAUCACGCCACUGCACUCCAGCCUGGGCAACAGAGUGAGACUCUGUCUCAA